rnacentral:rRNA from 1 species
UACAGAGGUCGCGAGCGUUAAUCGGAUUUACUGGGCGUAAAGCGUGUGUAGGUGGUUGUUCAAGUCGGUUGUGAAAUCCCCGGGCUCAACCUGGGAACUGCUUCCGAGACUGAGCGACUAGAGAUCGGUAGAGGGCGGUGGAAUUUCCGGUGUAGCGGUGAAAUGCGUAGAUAUCGGAAGGAACACCAAUGGCGAAGGCAGCCGCCUGGGCCUGAUCUGACACUGAGACACGAAAGCGUGGGGAUCAAACAGG